rnacentral:rRNA from 1 species
GACGAACGCUGGCGGCGUGGAUUAGGCAUGCAAGUCGAACGGGUAUAAACCUUUCGGGGUUUAGAGAGUGGCGAACGGGUGAGUAACACGGUAGGUAAUCUACCCUCAAAACGGGGGAACAACCCAGGGGAAACUUGGGCGUAAUACCGGAUGCGUGCAAGCAAUGUUUUUGGUUGUUAAUGCUAUUCACGGAAGUGAGUAGUGUUAAUGGUUGAGAGCAUUAUUUGCAUAAAGGUGGCAUAUGCUGCCGUUUGAGGAUGAGCCGUGCGUCCUAUUAGUUAGUUGGUGAGGUAAUGGCUUACCAAGGCGAUGAUAGGUAGGCGGCCUUAACGGGUGGUCGCCCACACUGGGAUUGAGAGACGGCCCAGACUCCUACGGGAGGCAGCAGUCGAGAAUAGUCUACAAUGGACGGAAGUCUGAUGCAGCGACGCCGCGUGAGUGAAGAAGGUCUUCGGAUCGUAAACUCUGUCCUUGGUGAAGAAAGGACGGUAGCCGAAGGAGGAAGCCCCGGACUAACUACGU